AAAAACUCUCGAUUUGAAGUUCUUUUGGACUUAUUGCAGAGGAUGCAUGAACUUGGUGCUCCGCCCCAAGAAGUUGUUGGAGAAGGCAAUAUGGUCAUGCCAAACUUUGGUGACUUGGGAGAAAUGGGACAGAUGCCCAACUUGGGUCAGUUUGGUGGAGCUGCACCUCAGGAUCCUUCCCAGUGUUCACUUAUGUGAUAAAUAGGGACUGGAAUAUUUAUUUGUUUACAUAACACUUUAUCCAAUGAAGAGACCAACAGAGACUUGGCUUACUAGUUCAAAACCUGAAGAUAUUUUGUUUGCUGAAAAAUUGUCACUGGAUUAUUGAUUCAAAGUUCAACAACUCAUUGAGAAGAAAUGGAAGGCGUGGUGCCACUGGAUGAAUAUAGAAAGAGGAAUUGCAGUUUUCAGAGUGUUAUUUGCUAGGAUAUUUUUCUAGUCUGAACAGUUGUGUGCUUUCUUUAUGCAUAAUGUCAUUAAGCUGAUUAUAAUCCAGCUUUUUAUAUUGUUAAACAGAAUACAGCUAAUGAUUUUGAAGUAAUUAGAAUAAGGUUAAAUUUACAUUGAUCCUAAAUAGUACACAUUUUUUGUUGAAACAAUUUAAGAAAGAUAUUUUUUCCUUAUAAAAUAUUAUCUGCCAAAAAA
rnacentral:sRNA from 1 species